CCUACGGGAGGCAGCAGUGGGGAAUAUUGGACAAUGGGCGAAAGCCUGAUCCAGCAACGCCGCGUGAGGGAUGACGGCCUUCGGGUUGUAAACCUCUUUCAGCUCCGACGAAGCGAAAGUGACGGUAGGAGCAGAAGAAGCACCGGCCAACUACGUGCCAGCAGCCGCGGUAAUACGUAGGGUGCGAGCGUUGUCCGGAAUCAUUGGGCGUAAAGGGCUCGUAGGCGGUUUGUCACGUCGGGAGUGAAAACUCGGGGCUUAACCCCGAGCCUGCUUCCGAUACGGGCUGACUAGAGGUAUGCAGGGGAGAACGGAAUUCCUGGUGUAGCGGUGAAAUGCGCAGAUAUCAGGAGGAACACCGGUGGCGAAGGCGGUUCUCUGGGCAUUACCUGACGCUGAGGAGCGAAAGUGUGGGGAGCGAACAGGAUUAGAUACCCUGGUAGUCCACACCGUAAACGUUGGGCGCUAGGUGUGGGGCUCAUUCCACGAGUUCCGUGCCGCAGCUAACGCAUUAAGCGCCCCGCCUGGGGAGUACGGCCGCAAGGCUAAAACUACAAAUGAAUUGACGG
rnacentral:rRNA from 1 species